rnacentral:rRNA from 1 species
GCUCCAGACUCCUACGGGAGGCAGCAGUGGGGAAUAUUGCACAAUGGGGGAAACCCUGAUGCAGCGACGCCGCGUGAGUGAAGAAGUAUUUCGGUAUGUAAAGCUCUAUCAGCAGGGAAGAAAAUGGCGGUACCUGACUAAGAAGCCCCGGCUAACUACGUGCCAGCAGCCGCGGUAAUACGUAGGGGGCAAGCGUUAUCCGGAUUCACUGGGUGUAAAGGGAGCGUAGACGGCGACGCAAGUCUGGAGUGAAAGCCCGGGGCCCAACCCCGGGACUGCUCUGGAAACUGCGUCGCUGGAGUACGGGAGGGGCAGGCGGAAUUCCUGGUGUAGCGGUGAAAUGCGUAGAUAUCAGGAGGAACACCGGCGGCGAAGGCGGCCUGCUGGACCGUGACUGACGUUGAGGCUCGAGAGCGUGGGGAGCAAACAGGAUUAGAUACCCGUGUAAC